CGGAUUGUAUUACAUAACUUUGUAUUUUCUUUUUCUUUCUCUAUGCCUUUCUCAACGCAUAGGGCCAACGUCCCGAGCCUAUUGACGUCCAAAAGGGGCUGUUCAGUACAGCAGCUGCCGCAGCUGUGGCCAAGGUGACUGUGAAAGCUGCUCCCAAGGGAACUGAGAUCUGCGCCUUCUCUUCACCCGAUGAGGCCAGCAUCGACAAGGGCUUCAAAGUGUAUCUGCAAAAAUGCGCUAAUUGUCACUAGAACUGAUCCCAUCUACCAUAGAGGGCACCAGAUGAAGUCAUCUGAGAACAGGAAGUGACGUCACUACACGUAGUUUAGAGAAUGUGACAAGUCGUUAAUAGAUUAUACAUUUACAACUUUCUGUCGACAACUCUGAAAUUCCUGCACAAUUGAACAGUUUAUACACAAUGUAUCCUUGCUACGUAAUAACAACAUCUCUGUACCGUAUGCUAUAGAUACAAAUCUAAUAGCAGUUUAACAAGUAUUUGAAGUCGACCAUGUCGAAAAUCACUGUUCCAGUUUGUUUGCAAGAUUGCCAUACACAGGCCCUGUUGAAGUUUCUUGAUACAGGUACAAUACCACAUUUAUGACUUAACGCAGAGAACCAAAACGACCUUCUUAGCAAACAGUAAUUGAAACAAAACAGCGACAUUAACAUGUGAAGACUGUGUAUUUUGGAACGGCAAAUGUCACUGUAGUUUUUAGCAUUUAAAAAUGGAACGAAUAAUGGUAUGUGAAUGUGUAACCAUUUUGUGCUGCAAUAAAAUCUCUUCAGCAUAGUGUUCCAAA